rnacentral:rRNA from 1 species
UGAGGAAUCUUGCGCAAUGGGGGAAACCCUGACGCAGCAACGCCGCGUGAGUGAGGAAGGUCUUCGGGUCGUAAAGCUCUGUCAGGCGGGAAGAAAUGCAUGGAGGUGAACAGCCGCCAUGCUUGACGGUACCGCCAGAGGAAGCACCGGCUAACUCCGUGCCAGCAGCCGCGGUAAUACGGGGGGUGCAAGCGUUGUUCGGAAUCAUUGGGCGUAAAGAGCGUGUAGGCGGCUUGGUAAGUCAGAUGUGAAAGCCCUGGGCUCA